rfam:Brachypodium distachyon strain Bd21 chromosome 1, whole genome shotgun sequence.
CUAGUACUUCCUCCGUCCAACAAAAGAUGUCUCAAGUUUAUCAAAAUUUGAAUGCAUCUAGACAUGACUUAGUGUAUAGAUGCAUUCAACAUUUAUCAAAAUUGAGACAUUCUUUGUUGGACGGAGGGAGUACAAU